AUGCGCCGCCCAACCCGCGAAUGGACUCCAUCCAGACAGGGCGGGCAGCCGGCGGUCGGCCGAAGCCGCCCCGCCCCUGUACACUUCUACCCUGGCCAGCACCCGGGCCGGUGGGCUUCUGGGACACAGAGCGGGAGGCUGGGCGUGCGUGUGGGGGUGAGGGGCGCAGAGGGUAGAAGACCCGCGCCACCUCGCCCCGCCACCCUCGGGUCGCCCAGAGACCGGAGGUGGCACCGGGGGUCGGGUCAGCCAGACGACACCACACAGGAGCCGGCGCACAGGCCCAGGCGGGCGGCUCCAGCGGCAAGGGACGAACCGGGCACCAGCUGGCAGCCCAGAAGCCCAGAGCCCCGCGUGCGUCCAGAGACCCACAGUCCUCGGUGGCAGACACCAAAGGAGACUACCAGGAAAAAAAAAAAAAAUAGCUUUGACUAUACAGACCUUUGUUGGCAAAGUGCGGUCUCUGCUUUUUAAUACUGCUGUCUAGGUUUUUCAUAGCUUUUCUUCCAAGGAUUUCAUGGCUGCCAUCACCGUCCACAGUGAUUUUGAAGCCAAAGAAAAUAGUCUGUCACUGUUGCCAUUUUUUUUUCCAUCUAUUCACCACGAAGUGAUGGGACCAGAUGCCCUGAUGUUAGUUUUUUGAAUGUUGUGUUUUAAGCCAGCUUUUUCACCUUUAUCAAGAGGCUCUUUCUGCCAUUAGGGUGGUUCAUCUUUCUGCCAUUAGUGUGGUUCAUCUGCAUAUCUGAGGUUGUUGAUAUUUCUCCUGGCAACCUUGAUUUCAGCUUGCGAGCCAUCCAGCCAGGCAUUUCACAUAAUAUGCUCUGGAUAUAAGUUAAAUAAGCAGGUGACAAUAUACAACCUUGAUGUACUCCUUUCCCAAAUUGUAACCAGUCCAUCUUUCCAUUGUGCAGUUCUAACUGUUGCUUCUUGAUCUGCAUACAGGCUUCUCAGGAGACAGGUAAGGUGGUCUGGCAUUCCCAUCUCUUUAAGAAUUCCAGUUUGUUGUGAUCCACAUAGUCCAAGUCUUUCUAGAUUUCAUAUAUAUGCAUGGCUAUUGUUCAGUCACUACGUCAUGUCCAAUUCCUUGUGACUCCAUGCUAAGAAUUUCUGUGUAUUGAUUUUAUGUCCUGUGAGUUUACUAUUUUCAUUGAUUAGCUCUAGCAAUUUUCUAAUGGCAUAUUUAGGAUUUUCUAUAUCUAGAAUCAUGUCAUCUGAAAAUGGUGAGGGCUUUCCUUCUUUUACAAACUAUUUUCAUUUUUUAUUUUUUCUUCUCUAGUUGUAGCUAGGACUUCCAAAACUGUGGAAUAAUGUUGGCAGCAUGCCAGGCUUCUCUGUCCUUCAUUAUGUUUGCUCAGAUUCAAGUCCAUUGAACCAGUGAUACUAUCUAACCUUCUUAUCCUCUGUCUCCUUCUUCUCCUUUUGUUUUCAGUUGUUCCCAGAAUCAAGGUAUUUUCCACUGAGUCAGCUCUUUGCAUCAGGGAACCAAAGUAUUGGAGCUUCAGUUCCAACAUCAGCCCUUCCAAUUAAUAUUCAAAGUUGAUUUCCUUUAGGAUUGACUGGUUUGAUCUCCAUGCUUUUCAAGGGACUCUCAAGAGUCUUCUCCAGCAUGACAAUUGGAAAGCAUCAAUUCUUCAGCACUCAGCCUUCUUUAUGUCAACUCUGACAUCCAUACAUGACUCCUUGAAAAGCCAUGUGUGUGUGUGUUAGUUUCACAGUUGGGUCUGACAUUUGUGAUUUCCAGCACCUCAGUUUAAAGCAUAAGUUCUUUGCCAUUCAGCCUUUUUUAUGAUCUGACAUUCUUUGUGACUUCAUGGACGGUAGCUUUCCAGCCCCUCUGUCCAUGGAAUUCUCCAGGCCAGAAUACUGGAGUGGGUAACUGUUCUUCUCUCCAGGAGAUCUCCCCAACUCAGAGAUUGAACCCAGGUCUACUGCAUUGCAGGUGCAUUCUUAACAUGUAAGACACCAGGGAAACCCCACAUGCAUACAUGACUACUAUAAAAACUAUAGCUUUGACUAUAAUUAACCUUUGUCAGAAAAGUGAUGUUUUUGCUUUUAAACAUAGUGUCUAGGUUUAUAGUAGCUUUUCUUUCAAGGAACAAGCCUCUUUUAAGUCCAUGGCUGCAGUUGCCAUCCACAGUGAUUUUGGAACCUCUGUUUGCCAUGAAGUGAUGGAACCAGAUGUGAUUAUCUUGGUUUUUUGAGUAAUGAGUUAUAAGCCAGCAUUGGUAUAUGAUAUUUGUUUUUCUCUUUUCUCUUUUACUUUACACUGUAUAAUAUAUGCUCUAGGUCCAUCCACCUUAUUAAAACUGAGUUAAAUGCACUCCAUUAUAUGGCUCAGUAAUAUUCCAUUAUAUAUAUGUACCACAAUUCUUUAUCCAUAUGGGCUUCCCUUGUAGCUCAGCUGGUAAAGAAUCUGCCUGCAAUGCAGGAGAGCCUGGUUUGAUUCCUGGGUCAGGAAGAUCCCUUGGAGAAGGGAUAGUCUACCCUCUCCAGUAUUUUUGGGCUUGCCUGGUAGCUCAGAUGGUAAAUAAUCUGGCUGUAAUGUGUGAGACAUGGGUUUGAUCCCUGGGUCGGGAAGAUCUUUUGGAGGAGGGUAUGGCAAUCCAUUCCAGUAUUCUUGCCUGGAGAAUCCUCAUGGAAAGAGAAGCCUGGAAAGCUACAGUCCAUAGGGUUGCAAAGAGUCAGACACGACUGAGUGACUGAGCACAAUAUCUAUUAGUGGACAUCUAGGUUGUUUCCAUGUCCUGCUGCUGCUGCUGCUAAGUCGUCGUGUUCAACUCUGUGCGACCCCAUAGAUGGCAGCCUACCAGGCUCCCCUGUCCCGGGAUUCUCCAUGCAAGAACACUGGAGUGGGUUGCCAUGUCCUUCUCCAAUGCAUGAAAGUGAAGAGUGAAAGUGAAGUCGCUCAGUCCUAGCUAUUGUAAACAGUUCUGUGAUUAACAUUGGACUACAUGUAUCUUUUUCAAUUGUGGUUUUCUUGUGGUUUAUGUUCACUAGUGGUGUUUUGUGUCACAUGGUAGUUUUAUUCCUAAUUUUUUUAAGGAAUAUCCAUAGUUAACUCCCUAGUGGCUAUAUCAAUUUACAUCCCCACCAACAAUAUAAGAAGUUUCCCCUUUCUCCACACUUUCUCAAGCAUUUAUUGCUUGUAAAUUUCUUGACAAUAGUCAUUCUAACCGGUGUAAAGUGAUAACCUCAUUAUACUUUAGAUUUGCAUUUAUCUAAUAAUGAGUGAUCUCUAAUUUCUUGAAGAGAUCUCUAGUCUUUCCCAUCCUGUUGUUUUCCUCUAUUUCUUUGCAUUGAUCACUGAAGAAGGCUUUCUUAUCUCUUCUUGCUAUUCUUUGGAACUCUGCAUUCAGAUGCUUAUAUCUUUCCUUUUCUCCUUUGCUUUUCGCCUCUCUUCUUUUCACAGCUAUUUCUAAGGCCUCUUCAGACAGCCAUUUUGCUUUUUUGCAUUUCUUUUCCAUGGGGAUGGUCUUGAUCCCUGUCUCCUGGACAAUGUCACGAACCUCAUUCCAUAGUCAUCAGGCACUCUAUCUAUCAGAUCUAGGCCCUUAAAUCUAUUUCUCACUUCCACUGUAUAAUCAUAAGGGAUUUGAUUUAGGUCAUACCUGAAUGGUCUAGCGGUUUUCCCUACUUUCUUCAAUUUAAGUCUGAAUUGGGCAAUAAGGAGUUCAUGAUCUGAGCCACAGUCAGCUCCUGGUCUUGUUUUUGUUGACUGUAUAGAGCUUCUCCAUCUUUGGCUGCAAAGAAUAUAAUCAAUCUGAUUUCGGUGUUGACCAUCUGGUGAUGUCCAUGUGUAGAGUCUUCUCUUGUGUUGUUGGAAGAGGGUGUUUGCUAUGACCAGUGCAUUUUCUUGGCAAAACUCUAUUAGUCUUUGCCCUGCUUCAUUCCGCAUUCCAAGGCCAAAUUUGCCUGUUACUCCAGGUGUUUCUUGACUUCCUACUUUUGCAUUCCAGUCCCCUAUAAUGAAAAGGACAUCUUUUUUGGGUGUUAGUUCUAAAAGGUCUUGUAGGUCUUCAUAGAACCAUUCAACUUCAGCUUCUUCAGCAUUACUGGUUGGGGCAUAGACUUGGAUAACUGUGAUAUUGAAUGGUUUGCCUUGGAGACGAACAGAGAUCAUUCUGUCAUUUUUGAGAUUGCAUCCAAGUACUGCAUUUUGGACUCUUUUGUUGACCAUGAUGGCUACUCCAUUUCUUCUGAGGGAUUCCUGCCCGCAGUAGUAGAGACAUUCCAGGUUCCUAUGCAAUAUUGCUCUUUACAGCAUUGGACUUUGUUUCUAUCACCAGUCACAUCCACAGCUGGGUAUUGUCAGAAGCAGAAGAUAAUUAAAAAGAGGUGGCAAGAAUACACAGAAGAACUGUACAAAAAACAUCUUCACGACCCGGAUAAUCACAAUGGUGUGAGCACUCAUCUAGAGCCAGACAUCCUGGAAUGUGAAGUCAAGUAGGCCUUAGAAAGCAUCACUACGAACAAAGCU
rnacentral:lncRNA from 1 species